rnacentral:rRNA from 1 species
AGCAUAUCAAUAAGCGGAGGAAAAGAAACUAACAAGGAUUCCCCUAGUAACUGCGAGUGAAGCGGGAAAAGCUCAAAUUUAAAAUCUGGCGGUCCUUGCGGCUGUCCGAGUUGUAAUCUGGAGAAGUGCUUUCCGUGCUGGACCGUGUACAAGUCUCUUGGAACAGAGCGUCGUAGAGGGUGAGAAUCCCGUCUUUGACACGGACUACCAGUGCUUUGUGAUGCGCUCUCAAAGAGUCGAGUUGUUUGGGAAUGCAGCUCAAAAUGGGUGGUAAAUUCCAUCUAAAGCUAAAUAUUGGCGAGAGACCGAUAGCGAACAAGUACCGUGAGGGAAAGAUGAAAAGAACUUUGGAAAGAGAGUUAAACAGUACGUGAAAUUGCUGAAAGGGAAACGCUUGAAGUCAGUCGCGUUGGCCGGAACUCAGCCUKGCUUUUGCUCGGUGCACUUUCUGGUCGACGGGUCAGCAUCAGUUUUGAUCGUCGGAUAAUGGCUGAGGGAAUGUGGCAUCUUCGGGUGUGUUAUAGCCCUUGGUCGCAUACGAUGGUUGGGACUGAGGAUCUCAGCACACCUUUAUGGUCGGGGUUCGCCCACGUUUGUGCUUAGGAUGCUGGCAUAAUGGCUUUAAGCGACCCGUCUUGAAACACGGACCAAGGAGUCUAACAUGCAUGCGAGUGUUUGGGUGGAAAACCCAAGCGCGUAAUGAAAGUGAAAGUUGAGACCUCUGUCGUGGAGGGCAUCGACGCCCGGACCAGACCUUCUGUGACGGCUCUGCGGUAGAGCAUGUAUGUUGGGACCCGAAAGAUGGUGAACUAUGCCUGAAUAGGGUGAAGCCAGAGGAAACUCUGGUGGAGGCUCGUAGCGAUUCUGACGUGCAAAUCGAUCGUCAAAUUUGGGUAUAGGGGCGAAAGACUAAUCCAACCAUCUAGUAGCUGGUUCCUGC